AAUCCAUAGGUUAAUGAGGCGAACCGGGGGAACUGAAACAUCUAAGUACCCCGAGGAAAAGAAAUCAACCGAGAUUCCCCCAGUAGCGGCGAGCGAACGGGGAGGAGCCCAGAGCCUGAAUCAGCAUGUGUGUUAGUGGAAGCGUCUGGAAAGGCGCGCGAUACAGGGUGACAGCCCCGUACACAAAAGCGCAUGUGCUGUGAGCUCGAUGAGUAGGGCGGGACACGUGGUAUCCUGUCUGAAUAUGGGGGGACCAUCCUCCAAGGCUAAAUACUCCUGACUGACCGAUAGUGAACCAGUACCGUGAGGGAAAGGCGAAAAGAACCCCGGCGAGGGGAGUGAAAAAGAACCUGAAACCGUGUACGUACAAGCAGUGGGAGCACAGGUUUACCUGUGUGACUGCGUACCUUUUGUAUAAUGGGUCAGCGACUUAUAUUCUGUAGCAAGGUUAACCGUAUAGGGGAGCCGUAGGGAAACCGAGUCUUAACCGGGCGUUAAGUUGCAGGGUAUAGACCCGAAACCCGGUGAUCUAGCCAUGGGCAGGUUGAAGGUUGGGUAACACUAACUGGAGGACCGAACCGACUAAUGUUGAAAAAUUAGCGGAUGACCUGUGGCUGGGGGUGAAAGGCCAAUCAAACCGGGAGAUAGCUGGUUCUCCCCGAAAGCUAUUUAGGUAGCGCCUCGUGAAUUCAUCUCCGGGGGUAGAGCACUGUUUCGGCUAGGGGGCCAUCCCGGCUUACCAACCCGAUGCAAACUGCGAA
rnacentral:rRNA from 1 species